AAAGUUUUUUUGUAAUGAAAAAUAAAUGAUGAAAUAAAAAUGAAAAUCUGUUCUUAUCAGGUUAAUAUCUGAUAUGUCCUCUAUAUGAGGCAGAUUUUUGGCAAGAGGAGCAGAAAUUUGGAGCUUGCUUCUUUCUCUCCCUGCAUUGACCAAGCAUUGCAGUGCCGCUUGGAACGGUGCACUCUGU